rnacentral:ncRNA from 2 species
GCGCUGGUUACUGCUUCAGGUGCUCCAAGGGAAUUCUUUCCGCGGAGUUAAUCGGGAAGCCGGUGCACAGGUCAUCCUGUCAAAGCCGGCGCUGCCCCCGCAACGGUAGGUUGAGAUAGGGUGGGUCAUCAUGCCACUGCGCGAUCGCGCGGGAAGGCGCCCCACCCCGGAUUUGGCGAAAGCCGGAUCCACUCACGAGCCCGUAGACCGGCCUGAAGUCGGAACCGGUA